GUGGUUGUGGCUCAGAGGAAGAACACUCGCCUAGUAUGUGUGAGGCACUGGGUUCAAUCCUCAGCACCACA
rnacentral:tRNA from 1 species